rnacentral:lncRNA from 1 species
GACCUAUUUUUACAACUCUUUAUCAUUUGGGACGCAUACUCUUCCUCUAAAUUUGACUAAACCAUCACUGUGUGUGCUGAAUUCUACUCUUGUUUCUUGUUAUGUGUCUUUUCUUAUCAAUUGUAACUCAUUAUCUGACAUUUGUCCUUAUCUCAUUCUUUGAAUUAAAGUCGAUUGAACCCUAAUACUGGCUAAAUAUCCUUUCUUGCGCCGUUCUUUAAUUUCUAGCCACUGCAUUACUUCCCUCGGUUCCCAGUCACAGAUCAUUAUAUAUGUCAAUAAUCUCGUACUUUUCCUACAGAGGGCAUCAUCGACCAUAUUCUCUUUGAUUGGAUGUUAUUGGAUUUUAUAGUUAAUGUCCUUCAGUAGCUCUAUCUAUCGUAUCUGACACAUAUUAAGUUCUUUUUAGAGAAUAUUUAUUGUAAACUCUUAUGUUCAGUGUAGAUUUCAAAGGUCUC